AGAGUUUGAUCCUGGCUCAGGAUGAACGCUAGCGGCAGGCUUAAUACAUGCAAGUCGUGGGGCAGCGCAGGUAGCAAUACUGGGCGGCGACCGGCAAACGGGUGCGGAACACGUACACAACCUUCCUUCAAGUGGGGAAUAGCCCAGAGAAAUUUGGAUUAAUACCCCGUAACAUAGCGAUGUGGCAUCACAUUGUUAUUAUAGCUUCGGCGCUUGUUGAUGGGUGUGCGGCUGAUUAGAUAGUUGGCGGGGUAACGGCCCACCAAGUCUACGAUCAGUAGCUGAUGUGAGAGCAUGAUCAGCCACACGGGCACUGAGACACGGGCCCGACUCCUACGGGAGGCAGCAGUAAGGAAUAUUGGUCAAUGGACGAAAGUCUGAACCAGCCAUGCCGCGUGAAGGAUUAAGGUCCUCUGGAUUGUAAACUUCUUUUAUCUGGGACGAAAAAAGGCGAUUCUUCGUCACUUGACGGUACCAGAUGAAUAAGCACCGGCUAACUCCGUGCCAGCAGCCGCGGUAAUACGGAGGGUGCAAGCGUUAUCCGGAUUCACUGGGUUUAAAGGGUGCGUAGGCGGGCAGGUAAGUCAGUGGUGAAAUCCUAGAGCUUAACUCUAGAACUGCCAUUGAUACUAUCUGUCUUGAAUAUUGUGGAGGUUAGCGGAAUAUGUCAUGUAGCGGUGAAAUGCUUAGAUAUGACAUAGAACACCUAUUGCGAAGGCAGCUAACUACGCAUAUAUUGACGCUGAGGCUCGAAAGCGUGGGGAUCAAACAGGAUUAGAUACCCUGGUAGUCCACGCCCUAAACGAUGAUUACUCGACAUUUGUGAUACACUAUAAGUGUCUGAGCGAAAGCAUUAAGUAAUCCACCUGGGAAGUACGACCGCAAGGUUGAAACUCAAAGGAAUUGACGG
rnacentral:rRNA from 1 species